UACGUAGGGGGCAAGCGUUGUCCGGAUUCAUUGGGCGUAAAGAGCGUGUAGGCGGCCAGGUAGGUCGGUUGUGAAAACUGGAGGCUCAACCUUCAGAGGUCGACCGAAACCAUCUGGCUAGAGUCCGGGAGAGGAGAGUGGAAUUCCUGGUGUAGCGGUGAAAUGCGCAGAUAUCAGGAGGAACACCGGUGGCGAAGGCGGCUUCCUGGACCGACACUGACGCUGAGGCGCGAAAGCUAGGGGAGCAAACGGG
rnacentral:rRNA from 1 species